AAUAUUCAUCUCUCACAUUAAAAAUAUUUGCCUGGCUACCCUGUUAUGAAGGCAGUAUGUGUAUAUCAAAGCAUGGUUUUUGCAGUGAGACACACAUGAAGCAUUUUAUCUGCAUUUUAAUACCAUUUAAUCCUCACUAUUAUUAUGCCCAUUUUACAGCUAGGAGAACUGAGUCACAAGGACACAAGUGGAAGUUCUUGAAUUAAAACCAAAAUAAGCCUAAUUCUAACAGCUGAGCUCUUUGCCAAUUUAUUUUAAGUCUCAUUUCCCUGCUGACCAACUCUCCCUUCGUCUUGCUUCAAAAACCACACUAAUUUCUUCUUCUCCUAUUUUCUUUUUUUUUUUAGGUGCAUGCCACCACACCCGGCUUUUUUUCUUUUUUUUCUUUUUAGUAGAGACUGGGAUCUUGACAUAUUGCCCAGGCUGGUCUCAAACUCCUGGGCUCAAGCGAUCCACCUCUCUCAGCCUCCCACAGUGCUAUGAUUACAGGCAAGAGCCACAGCACCAGGCCUAUUUCUUCUUUUAAGAGCUUGCCAAAUGCUACUAUCUUAACUUGGAACUUCUCCCCACCUCCAUCCCUUAAAC
rnacentral:lncRNA from 1 species